rnacentral:tRNA from 15 species
GGGAGCGUAGCUCAGUCUGGUUAGAGCGCAUGCCUGUCACGCAUGAGGUCGCGAGUUCGAGCCUCGUCGUUCCCGCCA